rnacentral:misc_RNA from 1 species
AGCAGCCGCGGUAAUUCCAGCUCCAAUAGCGUAUAUUAAAGUUGUUGCAGUUAAAAGCUCGUAGUUGAAUUUCGGGAUCAAAUUGUUGGUCGUGCCUCGGUACGCACUGGUAUUAUUGGUUCCUACCUUCUGAAGAACCGCGAUGUCAUUAAUUUGGUGUCGUGGGGAAUCAGGACUGUUACUUUGAAAAAUUAGAGUGUUUAAAGCAGGCUUACGCUUGAAUACAUUAGCGUGGAAUAAUGAAAUAGGACGUUUGAUUCUAUUUUGUUGGUUUCUAGGAUUGACGUAAUGAUUAAUAGGGAUAGUUGGGGGCAUUAGUAUUCAAUUGUCAGAGGUGAAAUUCUUGGAUUUAUUGAAGACUAACUACUGCGAAAGCAUUUGCCAAGGAUGUUUUCAUUAAUCAAGAACGAAAGUUAG